rnacentral:piRNA from 1 species
AUGAUUGAUCCCGCCUAGGCCCCAGAGC